rnacentral:rRNA from 1 species
GGGUUGUGAGGUUAAGCGACUAAGCGUACACGGUGGAUGCCCUGGCAGUCAGAGGCGAUGAAGGACGUGCUAAUCUGCGAUAAGCGCCGGUAAGGUGAUAUGAACCGUUAUAACCGGCGAUUUCCGAAUGGGGAAACCCAGUGUGAUUCGUCACACUAUCAUUAACUGAAUCCAUAGGUUAAUGAGGCGAACCGGGGGAACUGAAACAUCUAAGUACCCCGAGGAAAAGAAAUCAACCGAGAUUCCCCCAGUAGCGGCGAGCGAACGGGGAGGAGCCCAGAGCCUGAAUCAGCAUGUGUGUUAGUGGAAGCGUCUGGAAAGGCGCGCGAUACAGGGUGACAGCCCCGUACACAAAAGCGCAUGUGCUGUGAGCUCGAUGAGUAGGGCGGGACACGUGGUAUCCUGUCUGAAUAUGGGGGGACCAUCCUCCAAGGCUAAAUACUCCUGACUGACCGAUAGUGAACCAGUACCGUGAGGGAAAGGCGAAAAGAACCCCGGCGAGGGGAGUGAAAAAGAACCUGAAACCGUGUACGUACAAGCAGUGGGAGCACAGGUUUACCUGUGUGACUGCGUACCUUUUGUAUAAUGGGUCAGCGACUUAUAUUCUGUAGCAAGGUUAACCGAAUAGGGGAGCCGGAGGGAAACCGAGUCUUAAUUGGGCGUUAAGUUGCAGGGUAUAGACCCGAAACCCGGUGAUCUAGCCAUGGGCAGGUUGAAGGUUGGGUAACACUAACUGGAGGACCGAACCGACUAAUGUUGAAAAAUUAGCGGAUGACCUGUGGCUGGGGGUGAAAGGCCAAUCAAACCGGGAGAUAGCUGGUUCUCCCCGAAAGCUAUUUAGGUAGCGCCUCGUGAAUUCAUCUCCGGGGGUAGAGCACUGUUUCGGCUAGGGGGCCAUCCCGGCUUACCAACCCGAUGCAAACUGCGAAUACCGGAGAAUGUUAUCACGGGAGACACACGGCGGGUGCUAACGUCCGUCGUGAAGAGGGAAACAACCCAGACCGCCAGCUAAGGUCCCAAAGUCAUGGUUAAGUGGGAAACGAUGUGGGAAGGCCCAGACAGCCAGGAUGUUGGCUUAGAAGCAGCCAUCAUUUAAAGAAAGCGUAAUAGCUCACUGGUCGAGUCGGCCUGCGCGGAAGAUGUAACGGGGCUAAACCAUGCACCGAAGCUGCGGCAGCGACACUCAGGUGUUGUUGGGUAGGGGAGCGUUCUGUAAGCCUGUGAAGGU